CAGUGAGUAAAGUGUUAUAUAGAAUUGUGGGCGAAAAAAACACAGUGGAGGCGUAUAAAUGGUAGUACUAGAUCACCAAACCGACCAUGCAACAACGAAACAUAGACAACACUACAGGCUGAAUGUUUUUGGACAGCUACGAAUAAUUCUUUGUAAGUUUAUGUUAUAUGUAAAACCACUUUUAAUAAUUAAUGUAUCAUGUCUCUGUCUGUAAACCAAAUAAAAUUAGAUCCCUGAGGAAGAUCCAAAUCGGGAUCGAAACGUU